rnacentral:rRNA from 1 species
GUGGAUAACCUACCUAUAAGACUGGGAUAACUUCGGGAAACCGGAGCUAAUACCGGAUAAUAUUUUGAACCGCAUGGUUCAAAAGUGAAAGACGGUCUUGCUGUCACUUAUAGAUGGAUCCGCGCUGCAUUAGCUAGUUGGUAAGGUAACGGCUUACCAAGGCAACGAUGCAUAGCCGACCUGAGAGGGUGAUCGGCCACACUGGAACUGAGACACGGUCCAGACUCCUACGGGAGGCAGCAGUAGGGAAUCUUCCGCAAUGGGCGAAAGCCUGACGGAGCAACGCCGCGUGAGUGAUGAAGGUCUUCGGAUCGUAAAACUCUGUUAUUAGGGAAGAACAUAUGUGUAAGUAACUGUGCACAUCUUGACGGUACCUAAUCAGAAAGCCACGGCUAACUACGUGCCAGCAGCCGCGGUAAUACGUAGGUGGCAAGCGUUAUCCGGAAUUAUUGGGCGUAAAGCGCGCGUAGGCGGUUUUUUAAGUCUGAUGUGAAAGCCCACGGCUCAACCGUGGAGGGUCAUUGGAAACUGGAAAACUUGAGUGCAGAAGAGGAAAGUGGAAUUCCAUGUGUAGCGGUGAAAUGCGCAGAGAUAUGGAGGAACACCAGUGGCGAAGGCGACUUUCUGGUCUGUAACUGACGCUGAUGUGCGAAAGCGUGGGGAUCAAACAGGAUUAGAUACCCUGGUAGUCCACGCCGUAAACGAUGAGUGCUAAGUGUUAGGGGGUUUCCGCCCCUUAGUGCUGCAGCUAACGCAUUAAGCACUCCGCCUGGGGAGUACGACCGCAAGGUUGAAACUCAAAGGAAUUGACGGC